CCAACAAUUUUUAGACUUCAGCGUUUGCCAAUGGGUUCUCGAUAACUUUUCGUAAAAACCUUUACAACUGGGGUAGUACAAUUCAGAGAGGAUGUCGUAAACGAGCAUUGUCAGUUUUCCAAAUUUUUCCAUAAAAAUUCUUUGCCUUUCAUUGCGACACAUAUGUUGACCAGAAGGAAGCGAGGUUAAGCAACGGAACACCGAGUCCUCACCUGUUGUAAAUCUACCAGCUUGCUUUCCUCUGUCAAAGAGCGCCAUGUGUUUGCAAAAAUAUCACAUUUUCGACCACCCCCUUUCCUAACGUUCACGAAUGAGAAAUCAAUUAUGCUUGCAAGAUCAAUGCUUAAAUAUGAAAACCUUUCUUUCCAUUAUCACACGCCUGUGACUGAAAUACAUAUGGUCAUUCGUUUCGGUUGUUGACCCCAUACCUUCAAGUAUUCCUGACAGAGUUACGGUACCAUUCGUUUUAAGCAAGCCAAAUUAAAACAUCUUUAUCUUUGUCAGGGUAACGGUAAGAGUUAGCUACUUUUAUUCGUAUCCUAUUUCUUAUUUAGGCGAACAAGACAUGAAAAAGAAUCUAUGCUAAACAAAUCUUCCUUUGUUUAUGAAUUCCAAAAAAAAAAAAAAAAAAACAUUGAUUUGUAUAUAGGUAUAUAUUUUGCUUGAUUUGUGCCACCUUGUAAGAAAUUCGUCAAACGACAUGUGACACUGAGUAUGAGCGAAUAAGUACCUGCGAUCCUCGAUCUGCUAUACUAACGCAGUUUUACGUAUAGUGGAGUGAACAAAGGAAUUGACUUGACUGGUGGGGGAAAUGCCAAGAACGAGAACCCCCACUCAGGGUCUUGAUUAAGGCAUGAGCCGUAGGGGGAUACGAUCCAGGGCCCCCCCACCAGCUGGAGGGCUCCCAGCAGGGCCGAUCUUAGCGUGUUCAAAGCCCCCUCCCCCCCCCUCCUCCUCUACAAAUUAUUAAUUAACGCCCCCUCUUCAAAAUAUAAAUAGACGCCUAUGUACGAAUAACCAAGUGACGCGCUUAUCAUAUUAAUCUCCUUUUGCUUAAUUAUUAAUGUUUAUUUUCUCAAAAUAGUACUCAAAAAACUCCCUUGACCCCUUCGCAACCACGAGGAACAGUGACGACUACAGGUUAUCCGAAGGACAUCCUGCCAUGUGGGUGAAUUCCUCUUCCCGUCAGCCAGAAGAACAUGAUAAAAGAAUCGUAUAUUCCUUCUUAAAUAUGGCAACGCUGAGCGUUUGCUCUCUACUAUUGGCCCAAGGAAAAGUUCAGCAGGGAUUCGACGUGGAAAUACGUAAACUCAACUGAGGCUACUCAACUGGCGCCAGUUAACGGCGGCGAUGACUAUACCUGAGAGACGGAUCAAGUGGUCCUCGAAGAUUCACGGUUGAACCUGAAAGUCUGAGUCUUUAAGCCUACAUAAGUAGAAAGCAUAAGGUUCGAGCCUAGAGUUUAUGACUUGAACCGCGUGAGCUCCCAGAGCUCGGGACUUGAAGCCUAUUUCAACCAACUAUGUACUAUGUAUCAAGCCUCUCGGUAUUUCCGAGUCGCACCCGAUAUACCCCGACUGUACCCGAGCCGAGUAUGUAGCAUCAUAUGUACUUAUCACUCGGGUACAAUCGGAACACCUCGGAAACGUCACAUAAAGAGACUCUACGCUAGUGUUUUCCAAGCUAGGGGGCGCGACCAGUGAUGCCAUAUCGUAGCCAGCAGUCGGGUGGAAUUUCCCCCACUACUGAAGCACACUAAUGCACGAGCAUGUAUAUAUGAGUUAGGCCAGUUUCGAGCGGAGCUGCCAAAUCGCGAGCAGCGAUGCCAGACGCAGCGGCGGAAGUUCUCUGGCGCCAUAUUGGAUUUCCCCACCACCGAACAUAUACUAACACACGAGGCUAAUAUACGCAAGCUUCGAUACUUCAAGUAACUUCAGCGAUUCGACAAAGAAGCCAAAUGUGGAGCUUUCGUCCUCUUCCAGAAGUUGGGAUACUCGAAAGCGAAGAAGAGACCCUCACAUUUGCUUCACCUUCUCGAAUUUCCGAAGUUAUAUGAGAUUUCAAGCUUACGUACACGGAACUUGUGCGUUGGUAUAUGUGUGGUGGUGGGGGAAAUUCAAUAUGGCGGUUGAGAACUUCCGAUACUCCGCCUGGCAUCACUUGCUGGAAGUCGAAUGGAAUUUUCCCCUCCACUUACGCAUACUAAUGCACGAGUGAGUAUAUACAACACACCUAUGCACUCAUGCAUUAGUAAUAUAUAAGUGGAGGGGGAAAUUCCAUUCGACACUUGGCUGCGAUCUGGCAACACUGAACGCGACUCCUAGAGGGGGUGACUUGCAAUUCAAGGGGAAACGCGAAAGACGAUAAUUUAAUGUUGAAGAAUGUAGAUAACUUAAAUAUUCUUUUCUAUAUGAACAUACUUAUUCUUUACAUGUUUCAUUGAAAUUUCUCUACUGAUAUAUUUUAAUAGUAAUCGUCCAUAUAAUCGUGCUUGUGGAUGGGAGAUAGUGAUUAGUGUACGAGGAGGGAAAGUUCCUGAUUCUUCUAUCAGCGUAUAUUGUAAUGGGAUACUUGUUAAUGGGGAGGAUGAUUCGUGAUUAAUAAAGUUUGACAACAAACACUUUUUCGUUUAUUUUUAUGAAUACCACUGGUCCAUUGAUAUACGAACACCCUGUAUAAAUUAGACAUGAUCUCCUAAUCGUUUCGAGCAGUGGAUUUUACAAAAUUUUUCGAUAAUGCGUAGCACUCGAAUAAAAUUAUGCCUAUCCUUGGACUUGACUGUAUUUAUAAAAAAGACUGUAAUGCCAUCAGGAUAAAAAGCGAAGAAAAAUUAUUUACUUAAAAUAACAAUUUUUCUUGCACUGGGCACAGCAAGUUGUAUAGCCAGCCCUGCAUAGGGCAGGAGAGGAGGAGAAGUUCAAAUCCCCUCCAAGAAGUCAUCGCGAUUCUUAGAAGGCGCUGCGAUCACGAUCACGUGACUCGACAGACUAGGACUGGUUUACUCAAAAUCGAUAUCCGAUACUACGGGAUUAAAAUUUCAGAGUAUAAUGUACAGUGUUAUUUAAUAGUUAUCUCUAAGGUCGACAUAAGCAAUAUGGGAAGGAAAAUUAUUACUCUCCAGAUAUCAUCGCAGUUGUUAAAAGACGAUGUAAUCUAGAUCACGUGAUUUGAAAGGUUAGGUCCCCCCACCUCCCGUAGAUUGCACCUUUUCAGUCGGUAAAUGGUGCUUUACAAUAUUCAGAAGUAAUUCAAAUUAAGUAUAAUUAAAAAUAGUCCGAAUGUGGUCGUAUUUGGACUCAUUUUUAUCGGGAAAUCCUUGCUAAUCUACUAAUAAUAUUUUCACGAAGAUACAGUGAAAAAUAUGAAAAUUUACAUUUUCAUUCGCGAA